GACGAACGUUGGCGGCGUGCUUAAUACAUGCAAGUCAACUGAAGCAGUGGUAGCAAUAUCGCUGUGGAGGUGGCGCACGGGUGAGUAACACGUAGGUAAUCUGCCUUCAGGUCUGGCAUAACUCCGGGAAACCGGGGCUAAUAGCAGAUGAUGCAGCGGCUCGACAUCGAGACAGUUGUUAAAGCUAUGGCGCCUGAAGAUGAGCCUGCGUCUGAUUAGCUAGUUGGCGGGGUAACGGCCCACCAAGGCAACGAUCAGUGGCUGGUCUGAGAGGAUGAUCAGCCACACUGGAACUGAGACACGGUCCAGACUCCUACGGGAGGCAGCAGUAAGGAAUAUUGCUCAAUGGGAGAAAUCCUGAAGCAGCAACGCCGCGUGAGGGACGAAGGGCUUUUGCUUGUAAACCUCUGUAGUGAGAGAAAAAAAUCCCAAUCUUUGGGACAUGAUGGUAGCUCAAAAGUAAGCCCCGGCUAACUACGUG
rnacentral:rRNA from 1 species